UUAAACUUAUACAUAUUUAAAACCUCUAUGCAAUGCUAAUGUAAAGAUGUAUAUAAGAAAAACUAGUGUUUAUUAGAUUUAUGAUAAAAUAGGAAGGUAUCGGCCCAUCGUGAACGAAUGUCAUCUAUAUCUUCUUGUUAGAAUGAUGUUUCAUCACUAAACUCAUAUAAUUUGAACAAAUUUAAAUUAUGAUAAAUUAACAACAACAACAUUAAUUUAACAAAUAUACAUAAAUUACAAGUAAAUGGAUAGUUAAUAUCUUAGUCUAUGAAUUGAUAAUGCAUCUAGCGAUAAUAUUAUACAUAUGUCUCAUCACAUAAUAUCCACAAUCACACCUGUUGAAUUGUUUAUGCGUCUACAAAUAUAUAUUAACAACAACAAUAUAGUAUCCACAAUCACUCCCUUUUCCAAUUUCAACCACCCCAAUCCAUUCUAAAACAUAUAUUGUCAUGAAUUCAUGUGAUUAACCUCCAUAACUUCAACAACAAAACGCAUAAGCAUCAAACACUCAAAGACAACAUUUCAACAACAACAACAACAAUUUCAUUAUAGAUUAGCACAAAUCAUAACUCCCUAAUCAUGGAUUUUAUCCCCCAAAAGCUAAAUCCUAUCUAAGAACUCACCUUGAAGAUGAAGAUGGUGAAAUAGAGAUGAAGUUGGUGAUUUGGAUGAUGAAGAUGAGAUGAUGGUGGUGACUGUUUCCAUGACUUUUCUCUUCUUCUUCCUUCCUUCGUCUUCUUCUCUUCUUCUCUUCUUUCUCUUUCCGACAUUUACCUUUUCUUUUCUUUCUUUCUGAUAACUCUCUUUCUCUCUUUCCUACUAUCUCUCUUCUUAUCCACUUCUUCUUUUCCUUCUACCACACAAUAUUAUAUACAUAUAUACAUAAUAUCUAAAUAUAUAAUAUAAUAUUAUAUAAUGAUACAAAAUAUCCCAAAUGAUAUUUUGUCUCCUUGUAUCAACUGACCAAUUAUUAAUGUUAUCAAAAUGUCCCCUCUUGUACUUAUUAAUAAUGGUAUGUCCCUUUUAUUAAUAAUUAAUCUAUUCAGAAUUCACUGGUUACUCUGUUGAUCCCAACCGACAACUUUUAGAGCACAUAGCAACUCUAAUUGAUUGAUCCAUUGAACACCAAUUACAUAUAUAUAACUAAAUGUAUGAGAAAAAAAAACAGCAAAGUUUUCUAAUGCAUUAAAAUACGGUGUUAAGUGUCAAUAUUUGUGUCUACAAGUUGUCUCUCAUAUCACAUAUCAACAUAUAUUUAAGUUUUUAAAAAACAUAUAAAAAAUAUUUUUAAAAUUAGAGGACCACAUUUAACUAUAACCUAAUAAAAUUUUAAAUUAUCGGCCAAAGAAAAUAAUAAUGAUAAAAUUUUAAAUUUUCCACCAAAGAAAAUAAUAAAAAGGUUUGACCAGUAUUUGGACACACGGACGCACACUUCUAAUGCAUUCUCUUUCCAUUCAGCCAACACUAUUAUAAAAAAUGGAUAUGAAAGGAUUUUAUCAUUAUUUUUAGAGGUGAGGUAACGAAUGGAUGUCAUAAAAAUUUGUCACUUUACGUCUCGAUUAUUAUAUAUAGGAUAAAGUGUUCUUCACAUGAGUUCGAUCAUCAACAACAAUAUUUUUAUUAAUUUUAAAAUUAUGCUGCGCACGUCACAUAUCUCUCGGUUUUAUUAAAUAACCGAGGAAAAUAUACUAUUUACGUUGGAUUGUGUUAAUAAUUAAGGGAUUUAAACCUUUUCUUUUUAAAUUCAAAUUUGACUGAUCUGGAUCAUUUUUUUUUACACAUAACAUGUAAAUCAUUUGACAUAAUCAGAUUAUUUGUAUUUUAUAUAGAACAUAACACAGAAUACCAAAUUUACAUUGUUUACAAAAUAAAAUGUACGAUGCUUACAAUACUUAUAAUGACAUUUUGGAUACACAAAAUAUCUACCAAGAGAACCUAUGCAUUUUUAAACUUAUACAUAUUUAAAACCUCUAUACACUGCUAAUGUAAAGAUGUAAAUAAAUAAAAACUAGUGUUUAUUAGACUUAUGACAAAAUAGGAAGGUAUCGGCCCAUCAUGAACGAAUGUCAUCUAUAUCUUCUUGUUAGAAUGAUGUUUCAUCACUAAACUCAUAUAAUUUGAACAAAUUUAAAAUAUGAUAAAUUAACAACAACAUUAAUUUAACAAAUAUACAUAAAUUACAAGUAUAUGGAUAGUUAAUAUCUUAGUCUAUGAAUUGAUAAUGCCUCUAACGACAAUAUUAUAGAUAUGUCUCAUCACAUAGUAUCCAUAAUCAC
rnacentral:lncRNA from 1 species